UGGCGCACGGGUGAGUAACACGUGGGAAUGUGCCUUUUGGUACGGAACAACUUUUGGAAACGAAAGCUAAUACCGUAUGGUCCCUUCGGGGUAAAGAUUUAUCGCCAAAAGAGCAGCCCGCGCUGGAUUAGCUAGUUGGUAGGGUAAUGGCCUACCAAGGCGACGAUCCAUAGCUGGUCUGAGAGGACGAUCAGCCACACUGGGACUGAGACACGGCCCAGACUCCUACGGGAGGCAGCAGUUAGGAAUAUUGGACAAUGGGCGCAAGCCUGAUCCAGCCAUGCCGCGUGAGUGAUGAAGGCCUUCGGGUUGUAAAGCUCUUUAGUCCACGAAUAUAAUGACUGUAGUGGAAGAAUAAGCCCCGGCUAACUUCGUGCCAGCAGCCGCGGUAAUACGAGGGGGGCGAGCGUUGUUCGGAAUCACUGGGCGUAAAGAGUGCGUAGGCGGCCGUGAAAGUUAGGAGUGAAAGCCCCGGGCUCAACCCGGGAAUUGCUUUUAAAACUACACGGCUCGAGUUCGGGAGAGGAUAGCGGAAUUCUCAGUGUAGCAGUGAAAUGCGUAGAUAUUGAGAGGAACACCAGUGGCGUAAGCGGCUAUCUGGACCGACAUUGACGCUGAGGCACGAAAGCGUGGGGAUCAAACAGGAUUAGAUACCCUGGUAGUCCACGCCGUAACGAUGUGUGUUUGUCGCCGGGGAGUUUACUCUUCGGUGACGGAGCUACGCGUUAAGCACACCGCCUGGGAAGUACGGUCGCAAGAUUAAAACUCAAGGAAUUGACGGGGACCCGCACAAGCGGUGGAGUAUGUGGUUUAAUUCG
rnacentral:rRNA from 1 species